ensembl:lncRNA
AGGGUGGGAGGGGACAUGGACAUUGCCAAAACACAUGUAAAUAAAACACCAAUUAUGACUGUACAUUAUGUGCAAUAAAAUAACUGGAAAAAGUGCAUGUACUUUAUCCUCAGAAGCAAAUUGACAGCUCUCAAAGCUGUAGCUAUAGUUUUAUUUUCUGAAAAAGUUCAAUUUUAUUCUGUAUCUAAACAGCAGAAUAAAGAAUGUACAUUUUUCACACUUCAAUUUUCAUUAAUGCUUUUAGCACUGUUAUGAAAGUUGUCACAUGCUGAAGAGACUUAAAUUUUCAUUAAAUUUUCCAGGAUAACCAAGGACAGAUUAUUGGCUAUGCUGUGUUAUCUGUAGAACUGUAAAUGAGACAAGUGUGCAUUACUUAACCAUAAACAUGAAAUACACAUUUUGAUUAUAGAUUUGCAGAUGCACCAAUUUCAUAAAUUUCUUGGAGAUGACCAAGUGGUGAUGAUGUUAUCAUAAUUCUUUAAGCAUAGCUGUUACAAAUGUUGGUGCAAAAAUGGAAGAGAAGUACUUUGUACUAAAGCCAACUGUUUUGGUUUAUUCUGGUCACUGCUGUCCUAGCUAGUGUAAAUAAUCUAGUGAGAAACAAAUUUCGGAGAAGAAAUUGUGUUUUAAAACCUUCAUUGAUAUGUAUGCAGUAAUACCUCUUCAUUAUUUAACUGUCCUGCAUGAUAUCCCGGUUCCCAAAUCGGAGGAAAAAAAUGGAAUUGAUGGAUGGACCACUCACUGGAUAAAGGAAUUGGCUGGAUGGUCGCACUCGGAGAGCUGUGGUCAACGUUUCAAUGUGGAGACCAGUGAUAAGUGACAUUUCUCAGGGAUCAGUGUGCUGGGACUGGUGCUAUUUAACAUCUCAGUAGGCAGCAUGAACAGUGGGAUCGAGUGCACCCUCAGCAAGUUUGCAGAUGACUCCAAGCUGAGUGGUGCAGUCAACACACUAGAGGGAAGGGAUACUAUCCAAAGGUACCUGAACAGACUUGAGAGGUGGGCCUAUGCCAACCUCAUGAAGUUCAACAAGGCCAAGUGCAAGGUCUUGCACCUGGGUCAGGGCAAUCCCAAGCACAAAUAGAGGUUGAGCAGACAAUGUCUUGAGAGCAGCCCCGAGAAGAUGGAUUUGGGAGUGUCGGUCGAUGAAAGAUUCAACAUGAGCUGGCUAUGUGCACUUGCAGCUCAGAAGGCCAACUGUAUCCUGGGUUACAUCAAGAAAAACAUGACCAGCAGGUCAAGGGAGGUGAUUUUGUCCCUCUACUCUGCUCCCAGGAGAUCCCAUCUGGAGUACUGCAUCCAGUUCUUGGGCCCUCAACACAAGGACAUGGAGCUGUUGGAGCGGGUCCAGAGGAGGGCCACAAAGAUUAUCAGAGGGCUGGAGCACCUCCCCUAUGAGGACAGGCCGAGAGAGUUGAGCCUGGAGAAAAGAAGGCUCUGGGGAGACCUUACAGCAGCCCUUCCAGUAUCUGAAGGGGACGUACAGGAAAGCUGGAGAGGGACUUUUUACAAGGACAGGUAGUGAUAGGAUGAGGGGAAACGUCUUUAAACUGGAAGAGGGUAGAUGUAGACUAGAUAUCAGGAAGAAGUUAUUUAUUGUGAGGGUGGUGAGACACUGGAACAGGUUGCCCAUAGAGCUUGCGGAUGCCCUCUCCCUGGAGAUGUUCAAGGCCAGGCUGGAUGGGGCUUUGAGCAAACUGGUCUAGUGGGAGGUGUCCCUGCCUAUAGCAGGGAAGGUUGGAAUUAUAUCUCAAAGGUCCCUUCCAUUCCAAACCAUUUCACGAUUCUAUAAUUUAUUUACUGAAGUGAUUAAGUCCUUCUACCUCACAGUUUAAAAAUCUGUGCUUCAGAAAUAAGCAGAGAGUAGGUAAAGCCAAAUGCAACACCUCUAGGAGUCUGACAGAAUAGGGCAGGGGAGGCUAAAUACCAAAUGUUUGGGUACACUGUUCUAGAAAGGAUGAAAAGUCUACUGUGAUUAGCAUUCAAAGACUUCUUCCAUCACGAGCCUCAACACACCAGUGGCAUAUAGUCAUUUCUGAACUAGCUUUAAUCUUGGUAGUUAAUUGCGUUAAAGCUGCAGAGAUCUUGUUUGGUGUGUUUCACUUGAUGAGGUAAAGCAGCCCUUGAGGUCUUUGCUGUUACUCUGAAUGUAAACCCCAGUUUGUGUGCUGCAACCCUGGCUUGCUGAAGUGUGGGCACACCCUCGCUUUCUGUUCUAUCUUUAACUGUCUAGCAUAUAUGCACUGUGCAAACUCAUUCUUUAUCAGCCCAUAGAAAACAGAAUUAUGAUGAUCUGCCGUGUCUCCUGCACCAUGAGAAUUCAGUCAGCGCCUAUCUGUGAUCACGUUUGCACUUGGAAUUGUCUUCCUUUGGUCUACAAAUCUAUGUUAGAUGUGAAAAUUGUUGACUGGACUACUUCUACUGGCAGAGCUGACUAUUAACCUACCACUGUUUUCUUCGUGUUUUGGUGCCAUCUGAAGACCUUCACAUGCAUAGUAUUCUAGUGCAUCUCUGGAUCAUUUCAUAGAAAGCAGAUCCAGUACUGCAAAGCAAAGGAGGCCACAAGGAGAGAAAAUAGGAAAUGUACUCCUUUGAGGAUUGAAAGAAGAUAAACAAUCGUGUCAGAGCUUUGAAUUCUGUCCUGAGCAGAUGAGUAAAAGCAGUUUGGACCUCUUAUGAGUCAGGAGGAGGAAACUAAUGUAAACAAGAGCAGCAUUCUCAAGAAGCCCCUGCUAUGUUAUCAAGAAGUUCAUCAGAGACUGUAGGUUCGAAUAUUAAGUGAAGAAAAUUGAAAUUACCUCUGUCCUCGAAGAGCUGAUUUGCCAUAUCUCCCUUUUAUCUUAAUCAAACUUGUUAAUUUGUCUAUUGGAAAACUUUCCCUUUUUCAGCCUAAUUUGAAUUUCACAUCAUUUUCUUCUGAUGUUCUGCCCUGCCCCCCACCGUGCUGUCUUACAUUACUUAUUGUUCAUUCUUGGGAUAGAAAGACCGCAGGCAACAUUUUAGGUCUAAAUCAGAAUUCGCAGAAUGUGAGACUACUGAGGAAGCCUGUUUAAAUCUGUGUGGCUCCACCUGCCUAGACAGAAGAGGAAUGUCUCAGUGACAAGAGCACAGAACAAACACUUGGAACACCUGGGUUUGAGAUACUUCUUGCAACACUGAUGAUUUGUGCAAUUUUGGGCAAAUGCCUUGCAGCCACAUCAGAAAAGCACACAGUCAUCUGAAGCAUUUUUCAGUUAUCAACACAGGGACAGUGUGAUUACAUAGGUUUGCAGUGGCAAAGUCCUUUUAUGUUAUUCCACAAAUGAAAGCACCAUCACCUUACCUUCUUUAGGCCGUAUUUAGUGACAAGGAAAAGAAAAUAGCUGGUGCACAGACAGCAUUCAUGCUCGGGUGCACAGAGGAUGGGCUGGUCCCAGUGGCUUGGCUGGUUGGGCAUCUUCCUCUGCCUGCUCCACCUGUACAGCCUCUGUGGGCCCUGCAGAGCCGCUUCUGAAUUUUUCUCCCUAGCUGUCCAUAAGGCAGCUCAGCGCUGUUUCACUCAAGUGCCUUUGUUGCUCAUGUUCUGAACCCUUGUACCUCAGGUCCCCAUCUGUGCAGUGAGGUUAACAGGAGCACUGUAGCAGCGCCAGAUGUGAAUAACUGAGACUGUGAAGUGCUCAGGCAGAACAGAGCUGACUGUUCUCUUGUAUCAUCACAGUGUAUGAGGGUCUUAUCGAAUGUACUUGAAAAUAAAGCACAUAAGCAAAACAAAAUAGCUUUGACUUCUUACUUAAUCGAGCCCAUAGAACAAAAAGACUGCACAACUUCUCAACCAUCUGAGUCCUAUUUUCAGACCAAAUUACCUCGGUGGGUAUCAGCAGCACCAGAGAUGGCUGUCUCUUGCUUUGGCUUGGUUGGGGCUCAUCACUGCUUCUGUGCUGCAGCUCUGCAUGGACUGAGCCACAGCCCAAGUUCUCUCUCAGCACAGCAGUGGGACAGAAACCAAGGGACAGAUGUAGCUACGGGGACCAGCGCUGCAUUGUCUCCUAACUGGAGGAACACAACAGCAGGAAUAUGGCUGGUGCUUUUGAGCAGCAGCAAAACAGGCAUAGCUGGAUUGUGUUGCACCUUUAGUGGUGGGAGGCAGAAUUUCACAGUACGAUGUAGGAGAUGUGCAUGAUUGUAGUGCAGGAG